UGGGGGAUAUUGCACAAUGGGGGAAACCCUGAUGCAGCGACGCCGCGUGAGCGAAGAAGUAUUUCGGUAUGUAAAGCUCUAUCAGCAGGGAAGAAAAUGACAGUACCUGAGUAAGAAGCCCCGGCUAACUACGUGCCAGCAGCCGCGGUAAUACGUAGGGGGCAAGCGUUAUCCGGAUUUACUGGGUGUAAAGGGAGCGUAGACGGCGAUGCAAGUCUGGAGUGAAAGCCCGGGGCCCAACCCCGGGACUGCUUUGGAAACUGUGUAGCUGGAGUACAGGAGGGGCAGGCGGAAUUCCUGGUGUAGCGGUGAAAUGCGUAGAUAUCAGGAGGAACACCGGCGGCGAAGGCGGCCUGCUGGACUGAAACUGACGUUGAGGCUCGAAAGCGUGGGGAGCAAACAGGAUUAGAUACC
rnacentral:rRNA from 1 species